rnacentral:rRNA from 1 species
UGGGGAAUAUUGCACAAUGGGCGAAAGCCUGAUGCAGCAACGCCGCGUGAGUGAUGAAGGUCUUCGGAUUGUAAAGCUCUGUCUUUUGGGACGAUAAUGACGGUACCAAAGGAGGAAGCCACGGCUAACUACGUGCCAGCAGCCGCGGUGAUACGUAGGUGGCGAGCGUUGUCCGGAUUUACUGGGCGUAAAGGGUGCGUAGGCGGAUGUUUAAGUGAGAUGUGAAAUACCCGGGCUUAACUUGGGUGCUGCAUUUCAAACUGGAUAUCUAGAGUGCAGGAGAGGAGAAUGGAAUUCCUAGUGUAGCGGUGAAAUGCGUAGAGAUUAGGAAGAACACCAGUGGCGAAGGCGAUUCUCUGGACUGUAACUGACGCUGAGGCACGAAAGCGUGGGUAGCAAACAGGAUUAGAUACCCUGGUAGUCCACGCCGUAAAACGAUGAGUACUAGGUGUAGGAGGUAUCGACCCCUUCUGUGCCGCAGUAAAACACAUUAAGUACUCCGCCUGGGAGGUACGAUCGCAAGAUUAAAAACUUAAAGUGAA